UCUGGAACGUCUCUGAAUUCUAGUAUUCCAGAAUCUGAGUUUGUAGCAAGUAUAGCCCAUCAGUGCUCUGAGAAGCAAGUAAGCAUCCCUAAGAAGUGACUGUCAUAAUUUAGGGCAAUGGAAGCUAAGAAGACCAUUAAUUUAGAACAGGGUAGAGAAGAGAAGAGUGUGCCUCCAGGGUUUGGGAAGAAAAUGAUUGUACUUCAUUCAGGAAGAACCAGACACCUCAAGGAGAUGUUUUCCAUAAACCUUAACAUAAAGCCUACUUCCAGUCCCAUCAUGCCCCAGGGACAGUUGAAAGAAAAGAAGCAGCUUUCCCCCCAAUGGACAAGAAUGAUGAAAUCACCAAAACAGGAAGAGCACUGA
rnacentral:lncRNA from 1 species